CUUUAGCUUAACUCAUUAAAGGUAAGUCCUGCCCAGUGAAUUUUUCAACGGCCGCGGUAUCCUGACCGUGCAAAGGUAGCAUAAUCAUUUGCCUUUUAAUUGGAGGCUUGUAUGAACGGAUAAACGAGGUUGAAUCUGUCUCCCCCUAAACCCCUGUAAACUAAUCUUUAGGUGAAGAAGCCUAAAUAUUUUGAAAAGACAAGAAGACCCUUUUGAGUUUUACAAUAUUUUUAACCUUUUAAAUAUUUGUUUGGUUGGGGCGACCAAGGAACAUUUUAAUCUUCCUAUAAACCCUGGAUCUUUAGAUCUUCUAUUUUGACCCUUCUUUGAUCAACUGAAUAAACUACCAUAGGGAUAACAGGCUUAUUUUCUUUGAGAGUUCACAUUAAUAAGAAAGUUUGGCACCUCGAUGUUGGCUUAGGGUAACCCUUAAAUGCAGAAGUUUAAAGUAGUUAGUUUGUUCAACUAUUAAAUCCCUACGUGAUCU
rnacentral:rRNA from 1 species